rnacentral:rRNA from 1 species
ACGGAGUAUCAAAGAGGGUGACAAUCCCGUGCUUUACACGACGACCGGUGCUAUGUGAUACGUUCUCUACGAGUCGAGUUGUUUGGGAAUGCAGCUCAAAACGGGUGGUAAACUCCAUCUAAAGCUAAAUAUUGGUGGGAGACCGAUAGCGAACAAGUACCGUGAGGGAAAGAUGAAAAGCACUUUGGAAAGAGAGUUAAACAGUAUGUGAAAUUGUUGAAAGGGAAACGAUUGAAGUCAGUCGUGUCCAUUGGGUUCAGCCGGUCCUGCCGGUCUACUCCCUUUGGACGGGUCAACAUCAGUUCUGACCGGCGGAUAAUGGCACGAGGAACGUGGCACCCUCCGGGGUGUGUUAUAGCCUCGCGUCGCAUACGCUGGUCGGGACUGAGGAACGCAGCUCGCCUUCAUGGCCGGGGUACGCCCACGUACGAGCUUAGGAUGUUGACAUAAUGGCUUUAAA